rnacentral:rRNA from 1 species
UUNNCUGNNUCCAUNGGUUAANGAGGCGAACCGGGGGAACUGAAACAUCUAAGUACCCCGAGGAAAAGAAAUCAACCGAGAUUCCCCCAGUAGCGGCGAGCGAACGGGGAGCAGCCCAGAGCCUGAAUCAGUAUGUGUGUUAGUGGAAGCGUCUGGAAAGGCGCGCGAUACAGGGUGACAGCCCCGUACACAAAAAUGCACAUAUUGUGAGCUCGAUGAGUAGGGCGGGACACGUGGUAUCCUGUCUGAAUAUGGGGGGACCAUCCUCNAAGGCUAAAUACUCUGACUGACGAUAGUGAACAGU